GAUCGAUGGUAGUGUAUAUUUAUUGACUACGAAUCAAGCGGUUGAAGGUUCGAAUCCUUCCUCGGUCA
rnacentral:tRNA from 1 species